UGCAACCUGGCCAAAAACACCCAGCUAACAAGUGCUGAAGAUCAGAGUGGGACUGACUUCUCAUCUGUUUCUACAUCAUUUCCUAGGUCAGUUAGUGGUCCCAGGAUGGCAGCUGCAGCUCCAGCCAUUGGGUCUGCAUCCAAAGAAGCAAGGGUGAAGGGACAGCAGCAUCCGGCAGGUGAAGAGCUUGUGGCAGACGGAGAGCUUUUUUGGCCUCCAACUAAGGAUUUCCAGACACAUCUCAUUGGUCAACUGCUGUCAUGAGGGAGGCUGGGGAAUCUAGGAAGGAUCAUACUUUAGCCAGGCAUAUUGCUGCCUUCAAAAAAACUAGAGGUUUUAUUACCAAAGAAGAUGGGGGAAAAGGAUAUUCAACAGGCAAGUAGUUGUCUCUGACAUUUCCUCCAGAAAACCAGAUUUCUGGCUUGGGCAAUUGGCUAAAUGGUACUGAAUGGUGGUGUUGUUUCCUGAGACAGGCGACACAGAAGAAGGAAGAGGAGGAAUUCAGUCUGAGGCAGGUCGAGUAUACGCUGCUGGAGGCAUUAAGGUGAAGGUUUUUGUUGUAGGCAGAACAAUGGCCCCCUAAAGAUGUCCAAAUCCAGGUCCCUGGAAUUUAUGAGUAGGUUACUAUAUAUGGCAAAAGGGACUUUGAGUUGUGAUUAAGGGGUGUUAUGGGCUGAACUGCAUUGCCCCCAAAUUCUUAUAUUAAAAUUUGAAUCCCCAGCACCUCAGAAUUGGACUGUAUUUGGAGACAGAGUGUUUAAAGCGGUCAUUAGGUUAAUGUUGUCAUGAGGGUGGGCCCUAAUCAAAUCUGCCUGGUGUCCCUGUAAGAAGAUGAGAUUAAGGAACAGACACAUACUGAGAAAGGACCACAUGGACACACAGGGAGAAGACGGCCAUCUGCAAGCCAAACAGAGAGCCCUCAGAAGAAACCAAACCUGCUGACACCUUGCUCUCCGACUUCUGGCCCACAGAACUGUGAGAAAACAAAUUUCUGGUGUUUAAGCCAUCCAGUCUCGGCACUUUGUCAUGGCAGCCUGAGCAGACUCAUAAAAGGAUUUUGAGAUUGGGGGUUAUCCUGGGCCAUCCAGGAGGGCCCAAUGUAAGGUCUCAAUAUAAGUGCCCAAUAUACAGCAUCACAUAGGGGUCCUUAUAAAUGAAAGACAGAGGCAGGAGGGCCGGAGAAAAGCUGUGAUGACAUAAGAACACCAGCCGUCUUCUGUGGACAUUGGCUACGAAGAUGGAAGGGGUCUCAAACCAGGGACUGCAGGCGGCCUCCAGAAGCUGAAAAAAGCAAGGAACAGAUUCUCCCCUAGAGACUCCAGAAGGACACAACCCUGCCUGUACCUGGGCUUUAGCCCUGUGAGAUCCAUGUUGGACUACUCACCUCCAGAACUGUGAGAAAUAAAUUUUUGUUGGUUUAAGCUACUAAAG
rnacentral:lncRNA from 10 species